rnacentral:rRNA from 1 species
CCUACGGGUGGCAGCAGUGGGGAAUAUUGGACAAUGGGCGAAAGCCUGAUCCAGCCAUGCCGCGUGUGUGAAGAAGGUCUUCGGAUUGUAAAGCACUUUAAGUUGGGAGGAAGGGUUGUAGAUUAAUACUCUGCAAUUUUGACGUUACCGACAGAAUAAGCACCGGCUAACUCUGUGCCAGCAGCCGCGGUAAUACAGAGGGUGCAAGCGUUAAUCGGAAUUACUGGGCGUAAAGCGCGCGUAGGUGGUUUGUUAAGUUGGAUGUGAAAUCCCCGGGCUCAACCUGGGAACUGCAUUCAAAACUGACUGACUAGAGUAUGGUAGAGGGUGGUGGAAUUUCCUGUGUAGCGGUGAAAUGCGUAGAUAUAGGAAGGAACACCAGUGGCGAAGGCGACCACCUGGACUAAUACUGACACUGAGGUGCGAAAGCGUGGGGAGCAAACAGGAUUAGAUACCCCGGUAGUC